CCUACGUGAGGCUGCAGUGAGGGAUAUUGGUCAAUGGGGGAAACCCUGAACCAGCAACGCCGCGUGAGGGAAGACGGUUUUCUGAUUUGAAAACUCUUUCCUCUGUGGAGCUAAUGACGGUAGCAGUGGAGGAAGCUCCGGCUAACUACGUGCCAGCAGCCGCGGUAAUACUUAGGGAGCGAGCGUUGUUCGGAUUUACUGGGUGUAAAGUGUGCGUAGGCGGCCCUGCAAGUCAGAAGUAAAUCCAUGGGCUUAACCCGUGAACUGCUUUUGAAACUGGAGGAGUUGAGUGGAGUAGAGGUAGGCGGAAUUCGCGGUGUAGCGGUGAAAUGCGUAGAGAUCGGGAGGAACACCAGUGGCGAAGGCGGCCUAAUGGGCUUUAACUGACGCUGAAGCACGAAAGCGUGGGGAGCAAACAGGAUUAGAUACCCGAGUAGUC
rnacentral:rRNA from 1 species